rnacentral:rRNA from 1 species
GACGGAGGAUGCAAGUGUUAUCCGGAAUCACUGGGCGUAAAGCGUCUGUAGGUGGUUCGAAAAGUCCACUGUUAAAAAUUGAAGCUUAACUUCAAAGAUGCCGUGGAAACUUUCAAACUAGAGUGUGGUAGGGGUAGAGGGAAUUCCGGGUGUAGUGGUGAAAUGCGUAGAGAUCCGGAGGAACACCAGUGGCGAAGGCGACACGCUGGGCCGUACCUGACACUGAUGCGCGACAGCAUGGGGAGCAAACAGG